AUGAGUUCAGGGUCUGAUCUCAAGCUCCUCACAUUGCUAUACAAUCGAACUGCCAAAAUCCUCGUCCGGCCAAUUGUCACCACAACGACACUCGCAGCUGGCGUCCUCAACAAAGGUGCACCAUGGCUUGUUGCUGCACACGAGAUUGUGCCCCAAUCCUCUGCUAUUUGCCUCAUCCACCUACUUCUUGUCGCUGUUCUACUGAUCAUCACGGCUACAUUCUACCUUGCCCUCCGUCCUAAAACUGUAUAUCUCCUUGACUACGCUUGCUUCCAACCAAGUUCCAACUUAAGAAUCACAAAGGCAACCGCACUCGAGCAUCAACGUCUCUCGCCUUUGCUUUUUGAUUCUACUAUUAGCUUCAUAGCUACUAUUCUUGAGCGCUCAGGCAAGAGCGAUGAAACAUGUGUCCCGCAUGCACAUCACUAUAUAGAGCCACAUUGUGGGCUUGACGAAGGACGUGCCGAAGCAGAGUUGGUGGUCUUCUCUGUGAUGGAUGACCUUUUCGCCAAGACGUGCAUCAACCACGGCACAAUUGGUGCUCUUAUCACCAACUGCAGUACAUUUAGUCCGGUACCAUCUAUGGCUGACAUGAUUGUAAACAGGUACAAGUUACGAGGUGAUCUCCGUGUCAUUAACCUCUCUGGGAUGGCGUGUUCUGCAUCAGUGACCGCAGUGGGGCUCGCAAGCAACAUGUUGCAAGUGAUGCCUUGGGGGUCACAUGUGUUGGUGGUGUCGACGGAGACCAUUGGGCCAUUCUACUAUGCGGGGAAUAAGCGUUCUAUGCAGUUGGUUAACGUCUUGUUCCGCACAGGUGGUGCUGCCAAGCUAUUGUCGACUUCUAGGUCCAAGGCUCGGUUUCGGCUUGGGCAUUUCACACGAACGGUCACCGCGGCAAACAAUGAUGCUUAUCGGUGUGUUUAUCAAGAGGAAGAUGAGAAGGGCAACAUAGGGGUUGCUCUCUCUAAAGACCUUAUGGAUGUCGCUCGCAACGCACUCAAGGCCAAUAUCAUGAAAACCGGGCCUCUUGUCCUAUCGACAUCAGAGCUUCUCAAGUUUUUGUUCUUUAAUGUAGCGAGAAAGGUGCUCCGUUUGAGGAACAUCAGACCAUACAUCCCCAACUUCAGUGUUGCAUUUGAGCAUUUUUGCAUCCAUGUUGGUGGGCCGGCGGUUAUCACCUCAGUACAACGUGGUCUUAAUCUAUCAGACAAGCAUGUUGAGCCAUCAAAGAUGACGCUGCACCGAUUUGGAAACCAGUCGACUUCAUCGGUGUGGUAUGAGUUAUCAUACAUCGAGGCCAAAUGUUUGAUGAAGAAAGGUAACAGGGUGUGGAUGAUCGGAUUCGGUGCAGGGUAUGAGUGCAACACUGUUGGGUGGUUGUGUAUAGAACCAUCUUCAUGUGUGGGUGGACCCUGGGCUAGCUGCAUCCACCGUUACCCAGUGGACAUCUCCAAGAGUGGUUAA
rnacentral:rRNA from 1 species